rnacentral:rRNA from 1 species
GGGGCGGUGGGGGCGUGCUACCAUGCAGUCGAACGAUGAUCCGGUGCUUGCACCGGUGAUUAGUGGCGAACGGGUGAGUAACACGUGAGUAACCUGCCCUUGACUCUGGGAUAAGCCUGGGAAACUGGGUCUAAUACCGGAUAUGACUCCUCAUCGCAUGGUGGGGGGUGGAAAGCUUUUUUGUGGUUUUGGAUGGACUCGCGGCCUAUCACCUUGUUGGUGAGGUAAUGGCUCACCAAGGCGACAACGGGUAGCCGGCCUGAAAGGGUGACCGGCCACACUGGGACUGAAACACGGCCCAAACUCCUACGGGAGGCAGCAGUGGGGAAUAUUGCACAAUGGGCGAAAGCCUGAUGCACCGACCCCGCGUGAGGGAUGACGGCCUUCGGGUUGUAAACCUCUUUCAGUAGGGAAAAAGCGAAAGUGACGGUACCUGCAAAAAAAGCGCCGGCUAACUACGUGCCAGCAGCCGCGGUAAUACGUAGGGCGCAAGCGUUAUCCGGAAUUAUUGGGCGUAAAGAGCUCGUAGGCGGUUUGUCGCGUCUGCCGUGAAAGUCCGGGGCUCAACUCCGAAUCUGCGGUGGGUACGGGCAAACUAGAGUGAUGUAGGGGAGACUGGAAUUCCUGGUGUAGCGGUGAAAUGCGCAGAUAUCAGGAGGAACACCGAUGGCGAAGGCAGGUCUCUGGGCAUUAACUGACGCUGAGGAGCGAAAGCAUGGGGAGCGAACAGGAUUAGAUACCCUGGUAGUCCAUGCCGUAAACGUUGGGCACUAGGUGUGGGGGACAUUCCACGUUUUCCGCGCCGUAGCUAACGCAUUAAGUGCCCCGCCUGGGGGAGUACGGCCGCAAGGCUAAAACUCAAAGGAAUUGACGGGGGCCCGCACAAGCGGCGGAGCAUGCGGAUUAAUUCGAUGCAACGCGAAGAACCUUACUAAGGCUUGACAUGAACCGGAAACGUCUGGAAACAGGCGCUCCCACUUGUGUCGGUUUACAGGUGGUGCAUGCUGUCGUCAGCUCGUGUCGUGAGAUGUGGGUUAAGUCCCGCAACGAGCGCAACCUCGUUCAUGUGCCAGCGCGUAAUGGCGGGACUC